CUCCCAAGUGACGCCCCUGCUCGAUUCGUUGACAGGAACACGGCUAUUACCGAUAGUCUGCAAUUGUUUGGAUAAAUCUUGAGCCAAUGGAUCGUUCAGCAAUGCAACUCUUACGUUUGCUGACAGCUGAAGUUUCUUCACAUAGCACCACAGAUUUGAUGAUUUGUGGCAAGCGUUUAUUUUUUCGGCAGCAGUCGAUUUUGGAAUGACUGGCAGUGUUUGGCGGAAAUCACCAGACAGUAAAAUCAUUGCACCUCCAAAACAUCUAGAGUCAUUGCGCAGAUCAUUCAUUUUUCUGUCAAGUGCUUCCAACGCGCGUUUGUGCGCCAUUGUGCAUUCUUCCCAUAUUUUUUAAUAAUAUCUAAUAUUAG